UUCCACGUGCGCACACGUGCGCGAUACGCACGCGUGUGCCCGGAGAAGAAAAUGUAUCCAGGGGUGCCUCCUACCCGCGCGAUAGAAGCCACCUUUCGGAUUUAUCGGGCGUGGACCAUGCCAUUAUUUCAGGGAUUAUUUCUGGUACUUGCCUGAAAAUUUUUCAGUGCUUCGUACGUCUCUCUCUUUCUCUUUCUCUUUCUCUUUCCCAGUCCGUAUUCCUCCUCACCCUCUCCCGCGGCUAUCCCGCUCUAUCAUCCCGUGCGUCGCAGGGAGAAUGUGGAAUUCGCUACGCUACGAGGGAGGAACGGCGGAAUGGAAAUUCCAGAUCAGCCGAAGGAGAAGGUAAAAUUUCGAUCUCGAGGUAGGUUCCUAAUCGGCUUUGCUUUCGAGUCACUCUCGCCCUCUCUUCUUUUCCUUUCCUGCCUGUUCUGACGAGCCACCCCCUUCGGAGCGAGACAUCGACUGCCCUUCCCGAUCGUUGUCCUCCUGAGCGUGAGCAUACGAAAUUGAACGAGCAUCCUUAACGAGCGGCGUGGACUGGCUCGAUAAGGAUGUUUGAGCGGCAGGCAAUGCGGGACCCCAUUUCCCUAUGCAAGCAAGAAAUUUUAUACUUAUUGAAGGGCCCGUUAUGCUCUUGCUCUUGUUCGCUCGUCGCGUUAAGUUACCCCUGUGUCCAUGUAGUUCACAUAACUGCCAUACGUCUCCGAUCGCCCGCAGUUCAAAAGUUAAUUGCCGUUUCUCCGAGAAAUCGAUAGCGUUACGCAAGACUUUGCCAAAGGAGUUUCACAGCCAAUCAGUGUAUUGCGAUUACCAGGUUUAUACCUAUAAGCUUAAUAUCUAUCAUUUACAUAUAUUAUCGUUUUUAUGUAAUCACGUAAUAGUCUGUUAUAAUAAAAUCAUCAGUGUGAUAAAUAUAUUCAAGUUUGUGAGUUUAUCGAAUCGAUAUCGUUCUAUUAAAUUUUUUACUCGUAGAAAAAUUUAACAACUUUUAUUUUUAAUUUCGAAAAUUGAAGAAGUCUGAAAAAUAGUUUGAUAGCCUUUCCACUGUCGCAAGUUUCAAUAUAAAAUUACACGAUUAAUUUCGCAACGCAUCGCCGUGUCCGUUUCAUUUGAAAAAUUUCGAAAAAGAAUCGACGCACGUACGAAAUCCAUCCAUCACGGAGCGACCAGCGUGAAAUGACUUACGGCGUCACAAAGGACGAAAUCUUAAGUCUAAGCUACUGGAAACUUCAUGAAGCUCCUAAAAGGGAAAAAAGGAAGGAAUAUUCUAUACUCGGCGUAUAAGUAGACGGUAUUUCGGGCCCGAGGCACGUUGGUGAGUGCCUCGGCAGGCGUGGUCGUGAGGCUCUUCCGAUAUUUCUGGAGCUGGAGGAAAAAGGAGUCACGGACGACGGGCGUGGAGAACCGAGCGGGGCGGGUGGAUGUGAAGGAGGGUAGUUCGGUGUUCCCGGGGGCGAAAGUGGCGCGGCGUUCUAAUGCGAUUCCGAUAUCGGUCCGGACAUCUCGUGAGCCGACUACACCUCCCCCAGCCCCCACCCCUGACAUCCCUAGGACCUCACCCUACGAUGUGGACGAGCACGUCAGGAUGGGUGGCGGAGGGGGUGGAUCGUGGAAGCAAAAGGGGUCCCCCUAAGGGCGGGGUGGCUCGUAGAAUGGGCCGAUAUGUAUGCCGUGAGCGCACCACCGACCGGCCGCCAUCUUGGAAUCGAUGUCGAUCAAGCGGAAGGAAGGAACUUCUGCGCAGCUCGGGGGCGGCCGAGGUGUAUCCUCCUCUGGUAUGUGUGUGCGCGCUUCCACAUACACCCCAUUCUACCCCUCCGCCAUCCCGUGUGCCAUCUCAUGCUGCCGCCGCAGUUGACCCACCCUCUGGAUGUGCUCGUAUGCGCGAGAAUGCUGAGAAGAAGAAACAGGUACUUCUUCGCGAAAAAUGGCGUCUUCGGCAUCGUUGAUUAUUACACUUGGAGUAACAUUACUGGCUGAGAUAAACCAUACUGUUAUAUACAUUGAUUGUGGUUGGCAGAGAGAGAUCGAUGCUAUCCGAUACUCUAAUCAGACACAAACAAGCCGAUGCGAAAUGGAAAAACUCGCUUUGCCGUGAGAUACGUAGCGGUGCAGAAUCGACGCUGGUUAAUACGACACGUUCAAAAGCACACCGUAAAUCAAUGUACUCGGGAAGAAAGGAUCCAUGAGACUUCCUCGCACGCGGACUCCAUCUCGCCGUAAUAUUCUUCUCGUGCCAUUCUAAGAAAUAUCGCCGGUACUGUCGCGAAAUUAUCCUCGCGGCGUGCAAGAAGGAUCUCCGCGUCUCCGUGCAAGGACGAAGCGGCGCGACAUAGUCAGAGGAUAAUCGAGAGGAUGCUGGGGCCAGAGAUAGGACCGACAGGUCGGCUGAUUUAUGGGAUUACAGGUUACCGGUAUAAAUGCCGGCGAAAAUGGCGUUCUCUGCAAAUCGAUCGUAAAAAGGAUGUCGCACGGACGGCCGGUGGAGCCAUACAAUGGCCAGCGUCUCGUUCGUUAACUCUACGGAAAUAAAUAAAAACGCGAACGGGCCAUCACACGGAUAUCGAGUGGGUUUCGGUGACGAUGGCGACGAUGCCGACGGUGGUGGUAGUGACGCUGGCAUACCGAAUACGCGAGGGAGGCCCGUAUUCCUCCAUAAACCAUAAAGAAUCGAGGCCUUCCGUGAUUUAUGGAUUAUAGCGCUGGCGCACGCGAACUCGGCAGAAAAAAGGAAGCAACAAAUGCCGAGGAACGCCGUCUUUUCAUCGUCCUUGUCAAUGAAGCGGAGUGGUAUAAAAGUAGGCUUGCAAAAUGCUGGUCGCGCGAAUUUACGACUUAUCGAUUCACCCUCGAGAGAGAGUCCAGCGAUCGUUGGCCCGAAUCUUCUCAAGAUAGAUGAACAGCGCUUCGUGGUGUCGGCAACAAGUUAUAAAAAUCGUAGCCAUAAAGUUACAUAUGAAUAAAUUAGAUAACCAACUCGAAAAACAUUAAAGUGUACAGCAUAACAGAUUUUUCACAGAGAAAAAAACUAGUUUUGAACAUUUUUCUCCCAUGUAGUUUUUAUUUUUACUCCCACGGCAGUUUCAUGGAGCAGAUGAAGAUAACGACUGCAAUCACCAAUGAUUGCAGGACAUGUGGAAGAGCAAAGAGACAGCAGGACACGACGUGAAUCAAGAGAGAACUCGGUAUCCGUGCGGAACAAUCGACACUUAGAAGCAGGGCUUAAGGGCAAAUGCGGUCAGUGUGCCUCCAUGAGCUGAGAAAUACGAGGAGUUGAAUGGCUCGUGACCUUGGCCCCGAGGCUGCUAGCCUGGGGUUGGUGAGGUAAUUAAAUGCUAUGGAUGGGGUUGGUUGCUAUAACCGGCAGGAUAGAACGAAGGGUAUCCAGGGGGGAUGAGACUAAUUGCCGAUGCAAGGAAAACCAUCCCUCGCCGUGCCACCGGAGGAUCUUUCAAGGUGCUCAUCCUUCCGAUAUAUACCGCCGUUCUAUUAACGGCUUCGCCGGCGUUAUUGCCACGUAGAGUCAGUUGUGCCCUCAAGUGUUUAAUGCAGGUAUAUAUCAUGCGUGUUCCAUGAUGUAUGCUAUGUUAUGCACCUUAUAGCUUAUUUGUUCUAAAAAAAUUGAUUGCGUUGCUGUGAGAACUACUCGUAUAUCGCAUUUCUGUGAUAUCUAGUUCUUACACUAUUCUAUUAUAUAUAUAUAUACUAAUGCGAUACAGAAAAAAUAUUUCUAUUUUCUAUUAAUAAAAAAUAAGUGUUUUCUCUAGAUGUGCUCAAGAUUUAUUCAUAACGUGACGUCAACAAGUAUACAAAGAUGUGAAUAUAGUGGUAGAUUUUAAAGAGUGCUUUUGAUUAGCUUAAUAAAAUAGUUGCGCAAAUUAGUCUUUACAUUUUAAACUCUAUUAAUAUUUAGAUUAUAUAUAAAUGAUAUAAUUGAUAAUUCAUACAUCUUACAAAAAUUUAUAUUUGCACAUGUAAAAUGUAAAUAAACACUUUUAUCACGUUUAUUCCCUG